GCGCAGGUUCGUGCAGGGUCGCAGAUUUGGUACACUGCGAGUCUAUGAUGUAAACGAGGUGUGUAAGACCGUGGCGAUAGACUUACAGUGUAGCAGGGAAACGCAUCAACACACCGCCUGGGGAGUACGGCCGCAAGGUUAAAACUCAAAGGAAUUGACGGGGACCCGCACAAGCGGUGGAGCAUGUGGUUUAAUUCGAAGAUACGCGCAGAACCUUACCAACACUUGACAUGUUCGUCGCGACUCUAAGAGAUUAGAGUUUUCGGUUCGGCCGGACGAAACACAGGUGCUGCAUGGCUGUCGUCAGCUCGUGUCGUGAGAUGUUGGGUUAAGUCCCGCAACGAGCGCAACCCUCACUUUUAGUUGCCAUCAUUAAGUUGGGCACUCUGAAAGAACUGCCAGUGAUAAGCUGGAGGAAGGUGGGGAUGACGUCAAGUCCUCAUGGCCCUUACGUGUUGGGCUACACACGUGCUACAAUGGCAUCUACAACAGGAAGCAAAACGGCAACGUUAAGCAAAUCCCGAAAAGAUGCCUCAGUUCGGAUUGCACUCUGCAACUCGAGUGCAUGAAGCUGGAAUUACUAGUAAUCGUGGAUCAGCGUGCCACGGUGAAUACGUUCCCGGGUCUUGUACACACCGCCCGUCACACCAUGGGAGUUGGUUCUACCUUAAGGCAAGGUUUUAAACCCUUGACCACGGUAUAGUCAGCGACUGGGGUGAAGUCGUAACAAGGUAGCCGUAGGGGAACCUGCGGCUG
rnacentral:rRNA from 1 species